GACGAACGCUGGCGGCGUGCCUAAUACAUGCAAGUCGAGCGGAUCUUCAUUAGCUUGCUUUUGAAGAUCAGCGGCGGACGGGUGAGUAACACGUGGGCAACCUGCCUGUAAGACUGGGAUAACUUCGGGAAACCGGAGCUAAUACCGGAUAAUCCUUUCCCUCACAUGAGGGAAAGCUGAAAGACGGUUUCGGCUGUCACUUACAGAUGGGCCCGCGGCGCAUUAGCUAGUUGGUGAGGUAAUGGCUCACCAAGGCGACGAUGCGUAGCCGACCUGAGAGGGUGAUCGGCCACACUGGGACUGAGACACGGCCCAGACUCCUACGGGAGGCAGCAGUAGGGAAUCUUCCGCAAUGGACGAAAGUCUGACGGAGCAACGCCGCGUGAACGAUGAAGGCCUUCGGGUCGUAAAGUUCUGUUGUCAGGGAAGAACAAGUACCGGAGUAACUGCCGGUACCUUGACGGUACCUGACCAGAAAGCCACGGCUAACUACGUGCCAGCAGCCGCCGUAAGAC
rnacentral:rRNA from 1 species